GUGUUGUAUGAAAGGAGAGAAGGUUAACACUCACUUUGAUAAGGAUGAAAGGCGCCCUGGUGGCUUUACAACAUACAACUGGUUAAGGCAUUGCCAUCUACUUAGUGGCAUCUAACCAUGUUAU